AGCAGCCGCGGUAAUUCCAGCUCCAAUAGCGUAUAUUAAAGUUGUUGCAGUUAAAAAGCUCGUAGUUGAAUUUCGGGGUUAGCAAGUUGGUCGUGCCAUUGGUAUGUACUGGCCUUGCUGAUUCCUCCUUCUUGAAGAACUGUGAUGCUAUUAAUUUGGUGUUGCAGGGAAACAGGACUGUUACUUUAGAAAAAAUUAGAGUGUUUAAAGCAGGCUAACGCUUGAAUACAUUAGCAUGGAAUAAUGAAAUAGGACGUUUGAUCCUAUUUUGUUGGUUUCUAGGAUUGACGUAAUGAUUAAUAGGGAUAGUUGGGGGCAUUAGUAUUCAAUUGUCAGAGGUGAAAUUCUUGGAUUUAUUGAAGACUGACUACUGCGAAAGCAUUUGCCAAGGAUGUU
rnacentral:rRNA from 1 species